UACGGGGGGAGCAAGCGUUGUUCGGAUUUACUGGGCGUAAAGGGCGCGUAGGCGGCCACCGCAAGUCGGUUGUGAAAUCUCUGGGCUUAACCCAGAAAGGUCAACCGAUACUGCGGGGCUAGAGUGCAGAAGGGGCAACUGGAAUUCUCGGUGUAGCGGUGAAAUGCGUAGAUAUCGUAAGGAAGACCAGUGGCGAAGGCGGGUCUCUGGACAGUUCCUGACGCUGAAGCACGAAGGCCAGGGGAGCAAACGGG
rnacentral:rRNA from 1 species